rnacentral:tRNA from 1 species
GGGCCCGUAGCUCAGCUUGGAUAGAGCGACAGCCUUCUAAGCUGAAGGUCGUGGGUUCAAAUCCCACCGGGCCCG